GACGAACGCUGGCGGCGUGCCUAAUACAUGCAAGUAGAACGCUGAAGCGAGGAGCUUGCUCUUCUUGGAUGAGUUGCGAACGGGUGAGUAACGCGUAGGUAACCUGCCUUGUAGCGGGGGAUAACUAUUGGAAACGAUAGCUAAUACCGCAUAACAAUGGAUGACACAUGUCAUUUAUUUGAAAGGGGCAAUUGCUCCACUACAAGAUGGACCUGCGUUGUAUUAGCUAGUAGGUGAGGUAAUGGCUCACCUAGGCGACGAUACAUAGCCGACCUGAGAGGGUGGUCGGCCACACUGGGACUGAGACACGGCCCAGACUCCUACGGGAGGCAGCAGUAGGGAAUCUUCGGCAAGGGGGGCAACCCUGACCGAGCAACGCCGCGUGAGUGAAGAAGGUUGUCGGAUCGUAAAGCUCGGUUGUAAGUCAAGAACGGGUGUGAGAGUGGAAAGUUCACACUGUGACGGUAGCUUACCAGAAAGGGACGGCUAACUACGUG
rnacentral:rRNA from 1 species